UACGGAGGGAGCUAGCGUUAUUCGGAAUUACUGGGCGUAAAGCGCACGUAGGCGGCUUUGUAAGUUAGAGGUGAAAGCCUGGAGCUCAACUCCAGAAUUGCCUUUAAGACUGCAUCGCUUGAAUCCAGGAGAGGUGAGUGGAAUUCCGAGUGUAGAGGUGAAAUUCGUAGAUAUUCGGAAGAACACCAGUGGCGAAGGCGGCUCACUGGACUGGUAUUGACGCUGAGGUGCGAAAAGUGUGGGGGAUCAAACAGGG
rnacentral:rRNA from 1 species